rnacentral:rRNA from 1 species
CAAAAACACAGGUCUCUGCUAAAGCGAAAGCUGAAGUAUAGGGGCUGACGCCUGCCCGGUGCUGGAAGGUUAAGGGGAAUACUUAGCGCAAGCGAAGGUAUGAACUUAAGCCCCAGUAAACGGCGGCCGUAACUAUAACGGUCCUAAGGUAGCGAAAUUCCUUGUCGGGUAAGUUCCGACCCGCACGAAUGGCGUAAUGAUUUGGGCACUGUCUCGACAACAAAUCCGGCGAAAUUGUAUUGCGAGUGAAGAUGCUCGCUACCCGCGAUUGGACGGAAAGACCCCGUAGAGCUUUACUGUAGCUUAGCAUUGAAUUUCGGUAUUGUCUGUACAGGAUAGGUGGGAGACUGAGAAACAAGGGCGUCAGCCUUUGUGGAGUCAACCUUGGGAUACCACCCUGACAGUACUGGGAUUCUAACCGGCGGCCAUGAAACUGGUCACGGGACAUUGUUAGGUGGGCAGUUUGACUGGGGCGGUCGCCUCCAAAAAAGUAACGGAGGCGCCCAAAGGUUCCCUCAGAACGGUUGGAAAUCGUUCGAAGAGUGCAAAGGCAGAAGGGAGCCUGACUGCGACACAAACAAGUGGAGCAGGGACGAAAGUCGGGGCUUAGUGAUCCGGUGGUUCCUCGUGGGAGGGCCAUCGCUCAACGGAUAAAAGCUACCUCGGGGAUAACAGGCUGAUCUCCCCCAAGAGUCCACAUCGACGGGGAGGUUUGGCACCUCGAUGUCGGCUCGUCGCAUCCUGGGGCUGAAGUAGGUCCCAAGGGUUGGGCUGUUCGCCCAUUAAAGCGGCACGCGAGCUGGGUUCAGAACGUCGUGAGACAGUUCGGUCCCUAUCCGUCGCGGGCGUAGGAAAUUUGAGAGGAGCUGUCCUUAGUACGAGAGGACCGGGAUGGACUGACCUCUGGUGCACCAGUUGUUCCGCCAGGAGCACAGCUGGGUAGCUAUGUCAGGACGGGAUAAACGCUGAAAGCAUCUAAGCGUGAAGCCCACCUCAAGAUAAGAUUUCCCAUAGCAUAAGCUAGUAAGACCCCUUGAAGAACACAAGGUUGAUAGGUUAGAGGUGUAAGCAUGGUAACAUGUUCAGCUGACUAAUACUAAUAGGUCGAGGGCUUGACCU